rnacentral:lncRNA from 1 species
UGAUGAGGGAUAAGGUCCUCAUCAGCGCAGCACACGACCCGUACCCCAUACGUUACCAAUAUGAAAGAUCUACUGACUUAAUGAUUAUUGCGUAGAAUAGGAAAACUAACAGUGCAGGACAAAGAGUGAAGACCCCGGCACCCCCUUCGAGAGAGUAGCGCAGCCAUCAUCACCCUUGAGGAGCAGCGCAGCCAUCAUCACCCUUGAGGAGCAGCGCAGCCAUCAUCACCCUUGAGGAGCAGCGCAGCCAUCAUCACCCUUGAGGACAGCGCAGCCAUCAUCACCCUGGAGGAGCAGCGCAGCCAUCAUCACCCUUGAGGAGCAGCGCAGCCAUCACCACCUCUGAAAGAACAGCGCAGCACCAGCGCUCCUUAGAAAAGGGUUCCCAACUACUUUCUGAAAGAGGCAAAAGCUGCAAGGCCGUUGGAACAAGGACAGUCACCAGUGACAACGACGCCAAGGACGUACCGAGCACGUGCCCCGAAGGAAAAGACGAUCUUACCCUCUCAUCUUCAUCUCUUAUAAAUAGCAUGUCUGUAAUAGUAGAAGGGACCGAUCUUUUUCUCUCAAGUUUUACCUGUAUGUUUUGGUGUUUGUAAAGAACUGUUCCAUUGAAGAGUGAAAGAAGCAUUCGUCCGUCUAUUUCCUUCAGGUUCCGAUCUAUUAUCAACCUUCUAGUUUAGGUGUUGGUGAUUCAGUGCUCCACCA